UCUGGUGGACUUUUAUGGAAAAAUUUGUAUUAUUUACCUCUAGAACUAUUUUUUGUAAUUUCAUCACCUUUUCUGAAAAUGAGGAUCUAUACUUCUUUACAAAGAAUGCUGGAGAAAUGGGCUGUCAGGAACUUCAUGAAGUUCAACAAGAAGUGCACAGUCCUGCACCUGGGGAGGCGCAACCUCAUGCACCAGUAUGUGCUGUGGGCUGCCCAGCUAGAAGGCAGCUUCUCAGAAAAAGGACCUAGGGGUCCUGGUGGAUACCAAGUUGAAGACGAGCCAGCAAUAUGCCCUUGUGGGGAGGAAAGAGAAAAAAAAAAAAAAAGCAUUUCAGACACAGUUCCUAAAUACAUGGGGAAAGCAGUAGUUCAAAUACCAUCUUCGUCAUCCAUUACUAAAUAAUCCCACAAAUCAAAGCUAUUUGGUGCAGAAAAAUAUGGAAUACAUUAUUUCAAUACAGGAAAGGCCUUGGGCUAUUAUUAAAAAUAUUGUGUAUUUUUCUAUCUUUUUGUUUUAAGACGAGCAUUCAAACAUCAUCCUGUAACUCAACAGGUAGCAUUCUAGAGAACAUUGCCAUUAAGAAGAGUGAAUUUCAGCCACGGCAUUUUCUUAGCACAACCACAUAAAAGAAAUGCGUCCAUCUACAACCAGAGAUUCAAGCCCAGGUAGGUCAUGUCUGUAAAGGCAUCAGCAAUAAGGUUUUAUUGCACCCUCUAGUGUCCGAGGACAGGCUUCUGUACGUUUAAAAGUGAUUAUCUUGUAAUCUCUUUCUCUAUUAAAUAAUUUUCCAUCAGCCACAGCCAAAGUCAGGACAUUAUGAUAAAAUACGUGAGGUGCAAGUGCUUUUUACCGAAAAAGCCUUUUCAUUUUUCCAUUUUUUCUCCAGACUCUACUAAAAUAGCAUUUAGUACUUUCACUGCAAGAUCAAAACCUUGAGUGACUGCUUCUGAAAAUAACCACUGAAGAGUUAUUCCAAAAAACACAACCUCGUAAUACUGUUAAGCCCAAGUCCAAACAGGUUUGAAAAAUGAGGUUAAGGUCUAAUCUAAAUUAGUUUUCCACAGCUGCAGAAAGAACUGCUGUUCCAGUGGAACAUAGCCACGUGGUUUCUUCUCUUUCAUGUUUAGAAACAGCAGUGUAUUGCCUACAUUUUAACAAAGAAGGAACGCAGGUAAUGCUACACAUCAGAAAUUUCUGUGCUACCUCUGUUUGCCCUGGACUUGAGAACCUUUCAAUCUCUCUCUUCUGCAAUGAGUAUUAAAUGCUCAUUCUACAAGUCAGAUGAUUCAAUAUGAAAUGAGGCUUUGUCAGUCCUACCUGAGAAGUGAAGUCAGAACAACUAUGCCGCCGUCUCAAUUAAUGAUGAAACAAAACAAAGCAGCUCCUCCAUAACAUUUUACCACCACUCAUAUAUUUUUCUAUAUGCAUAUUUUUGAAAUAUGCAUAUAGAAUGCAUAUAUGCAUUUCUAUAUGCAUAUUUUUGAAAAGAAAAGCAUAUUUUUCUAUCACUCAGGAGCAGUAAGGUGUUUGAUAAGAAGUUGUGCCAUGAAGAACACCAUUUUAUUAAUUUAAUCAUGUGAUAGUAAAUAUUUCAGAUUAAGAAGCUUAAGAAUAACACAAUAUGAUACUCUUGUGCUUUAAACACUGGUCUUCAGUAACGAAUGGUAGUGCUGCUAUAUCAGUAGAGAGUGGUUUUAAGCUCAUACUAUCCAGUAUUUUAAGCAGCCAUUUAUAGCAUUGUUCUUUUAAAGUGUGAAACCUUUUCACAUCAAGUAACAGUGGCUUUGUUUUAUGUUCAUGCUGCAGAGGUUCAGUGCAACAUGGAAUCUCACACUUUGGAAAACUCUCGCAUCAACUGCGGAUUUACUGCUAUUCUUCAUAUUUACUAUAUUACUAUUCUAUGUGACAGCUAUAAAAUUUAGAUAAACAAAAGCAAACGCAAACAUAUCCAGUCAUAUUACUACAAAAUAAGAGACAGGACAGGCCUUAUUCUCACACGUAGCUGAAUUUAAGUUUGCAUCCAUGUAAGUGUAAAUGGAACUGGGUUUCUGAAGACAAGAUGGAGGAAGGGUUAUAAAAUCUCCCACACAGCUGAUAUAAAACUGUAAUCUGUUCUCCUCGAUUCUAUUCUAAGGAGUGCUUUUCAGUUUCGGUGUUUUUUGUAGAAAAUGCUUCAGAAAUUGUACAAGCCUGACAUUUCUUGUGUUAACGUAUUUCAGAUAAAAGAAUGCUUCUAAAAAUAAAAACAUCAUCACAUAGUAUACCUUUGCA
ensembl:lncRNA